rnacentral:rRNA from 1 species
AUUGAACGCUGGCGGCAUGCUUUACACAUGCAAGUCGAACGGUAACAGGCCUUCGGGUGCUGACGAGUGGCGAACGGGUGCGUAAUGCAUCGGAACGUGCCCAGAGGUUGGGGAUAACGCAGCGAAAGCUGUGCUAAUACCGCAUGUGAUCUGAGGAUGAAAGCGGGGGACCAGGCAGCAAUGUUUGGCCUCUCGCCUUUGGAGCGGCCGAUGUCAGAUUAGGUAGUUGGUGGGGUAAAGGCCUACCAAGCCGACGAUCUGUAGCUGGUCUGAGAGGACGACCAGCCACACUGGAACUGAGACACGGCCCAGACUCCUACGGGAGGCAGCAGUGGGGAAUUUUGGACAAUGGGCGCAAGCCUGAUCCAGCAAUGCCGCGUGAGGGAAGAAGGCCUUCGGGUUGUAAACCGCUUUUGUACGGAACGAAAAGGCUCUGGCUAAUACCUGGGGCUGAUGACGGUACCGUAAGAAUAAGCACCGGCUAACUACGUG